rnacentral:lncRNA from 10 species
GGGUGGGGGACUGUCACUUAUUCAGGGGUGAGUGCGGGGGUGGGGGUUGGGCCCUGUCAUUUACUUAGAGGGUGAAAGUCGGGUACGGGCUGUCACUUACUGAGGACAACCACAAUGAUGAUACUCGCCAGGCUCAGUAGUGCUAUGAUGAUGGGGAUCCCCACCUUUCUGAAGGUCUCCAUGGGGAUACGGGGUUUGCGCAGGGGUUUGACAUCUGCAAGAAAAUGGGAGGCAGAGGGGAAGAGCAUGCAGUCAGCACUUGGUGAUCCCUGAGCCAAACUCCACAGCCUCCUGCCUUCUGGCCGGUGACAGGCAAGCACUGCCAUUUUUCAUGAAAAUGCCUCUGGCCAAUGUGAACUCCAUGACACCAGGGACUUCAGCUGUCUUAAUUAGUGUUAUAGCCCAGCAUCCAGCCUAGGGCCUGG